rnacentral:rRNA from 1 species
UACGGAGGGAGCUAGCGUUGUUCGGAAUUACUGGGCGUAAAGCGCGCGUAGGCGGCUUUGUAAGUUAGAGGUGAAAGCCCGGGGCUCAACCCCGGAACUGCCUUUAAGACUGCAUCGCUUGAAUCCAGGAGAGGUGAGUGGAAUUCCGAGUGUAGAGGUGAAAUUCGUAGAUAUUCGGAGGAACACCGGUGGCGAAGGCGGCUACCUGGACCGGUACUGACGCUGAGGCGCGAAAGCUAGGGUAGCAAACAGG